CGCACCGAUGCCUGGGUGAGGCCGUGGGCCAGGUCGCUGUUGACGACCUCCGACAGCUCCGGGCCGUUGGGGCGGC
rnacentral:tRNA from 1 species